UACGGAGGGUGCAAGCGUUAUCCGGAUUCACUGGGUUUAAAGGGUGCGUAGGCGGGCAGGUAAGUCAGUGGUGAAAUCUUCAAGCUUAACUUGGAAACUGCCAUUGAUACUAUCUGUCUUGAAUGUUCUGGAGGUUAGCGGAAUAUGUCAUGUAGCGGUGAAAUGCUUAGAUAUGACAUAGAACACCUAUUGCGAAGGCAGCUAACUACGGAAAUAUUGACGCUGAGGCACGAAAGCGUGGGGAUCAAACAGGG
rnacentral:rRNA from 1 species